GUGUUGGUGGUGUAGUGGCAACGCAUGCCGCGGCAACAGUCGCAUCCACGGCAAGUCCCGGGUUCAAUUUCACGUCCUGGCCAACAAA